rnacentral:rRNA from 1 species
GGCCAAGCUGGAAAGAGCGUGUGGGGGAUGCCUUGGCGCUAGGAGGCGAAGAAGGGCGUGCAAGACUGCGAAAAGUCCGGGGGAGCUGUCAAAGGAGCAUUGAUCCCGGAAUCCCUGAAUGAUCGUAUACUGAAUCCAUAGGUAUACGAAGCGAACGCGGCGAACUGAAACAUCUCAGUAGCUGUAGGAAGAGAAAGAAACCUCGAUUCCGUCAGUAGCGGCGAGCGAAAGCGGAAGAGCCCAAACCGGCCGGGCAUGCCCGACCGGGGUUGUAGGACCGAUGUGAUGCCCGACAGAACUUAGUUGAAUCCCCUGGGAAGGGGAACCAAAGAGGGUGACAGUCCCGUAGGCGACAAGUGAAGUUGGCUGAAUCGGCACCUGAGUAGGACCAGACACGUGAAAUCUGGUCUGAAUCGGCGGGGCCCAUCCCGCAAGGCUAAAUACUCCCUAGCGACCGAUAGCGAACUAGUAGCGCGAGCGAAAGGUGGAAAGAAUCCCGGGAGGGGAGGACAUUGACCCUGAAACCACAUGCUUACAAGCGGUCGGAGCUCAGUGGCGUAAGCCCGAGUGACGGCGUGCCUUUUGCAUAAUGAUCCGGCGACUUGCUGUUACUGGCCAGGUUAAACCGUUAUGCGGUGGAGCCGAAGCGAAAGCGAGUCUGAAUAGGGCGAAUAAGUCAGUGGCAGCAGACGCGAAACCACGUGAACUACGCAUGGGCAGGAUGAAGCGGGAGUAACAUCUCGUGGAGGUCCGAACUCACUAGUGUUGAAAAACUAGGGGAUGACCUGUGUGGAGGAUUGAAAGUAUCAUCAAACGUGGAGAUAGCUCGUUCUCUCCGAAAUAACUUUAGGGUUAACGUCGGACUAGUUGGCGGUGGGGGUAGAGCGA